AGUACAUGCAUGCAUGCGGGUGUUGAGAGUAAAAAUCCUUUGAUGCCGAGAAGCCACACAGGCGUGGACCUGCUUCGCCAAGCAGAAAGCGGGAGAGUGACGUGAUGUCACGCAGAGCUUGGUCCUGCUGGAGAUUUGGGGAAGUCUCAAGGAAAGUCCAGAAUUGGCUAGUUGGAUGAAGCAUGCCUGAGCUGAGGCUUGAAUGCUUUUGAAAAUCAGCAAACACAACUACAGUCUCCAUGAUGUAAACCAAUCUGCUGGACUACUUCCAAUUUCAGCUCCGACACAUGAAGAGCUUGGAAGUCAUCAUUCCCAUCCUUCACAAAAAGUAAAAACCAAACAAACUGAAAAUUUGUGACUUUUCUUGGGUCCCUCAGAGAAUAAAGGUUUCAGGCAAACUGCCAGCUUGACAUCUGGAGAGAGAGGAAAAUCCAAAGAGACAUAGCCAAGAUCUGUUUACCUGAACCUGAUGACAACAGAAUGAUCAACUAGUAGAAAAACUUAAAUAAUAAUUUUGAUGACUUGCUGGAGGCAGAGUGUGAAUUUGCCUGAGAGUGAGAGACCUGGUAUUUGGUGAUUACAGCAUACAGGGCUCUGUCUGGGUGCUAUCAUUGUCCACUGUUGUGCAAAGCCCAGACUGCAUCCUCUAGGAUAAGCACCUAAGUGAGGAGGAACCCUGGGCCCCUAGGUGAUGACCAUGCC
rnacentral:lncRNA from 10 species